AACGAACGCUGGCGGCAUGCCUAACACAUGCAAGUCGAACGAUUGCCUUCGGGUGAUAGUGGCGCACGGGUGCGUAACGCGUGGGAAUCUGCCCUUAGGUUCGGAAUAACAGCUGGAAACGGCUGCUAAUACCGGAUGAUAUCGCGAGAUCAAAGAUUUAUCGCCUGAGGAUGAGCCCGCGUUGGAUUAGGUAGUUGGUGGGGUAAAGGCCUACCAAGCCGACGAUCCAUAGCUGGUCUGAGAGGAUGAUCAGCCACACUGGGACUGAGACACGGCCCAGACUCCUACGGGAAGCAGCAGUGGGGAAUAUUGGACAAUGGGCGCAAGCCUGAUCCAGCAAUGCCGUGUGAGUGAUGAAGGCCCUAGGGUUGUAAAGCUCUUUUACCCGGGAAGAUAAUGACUGUACCGGGAGAAUAAGCCCCGGCUAACUCCGUG
rnacentral:rRNA from 1 species